rnacentral:lncRNA from 1 species
CAUUUUAAAAAAUGGAAAAAAUACAUUAAGAUUUAAACACCUAUCUUAAAAUGUACAUCUAUCUUAAAAUGGUAGUAAAUUAUAUAAAAAUGGAAAUACCACAUUAAACUAAAAAAAAUAAAAAUGUAUAGUUUUACAUCAAGAAGUCCCUAUAAAAUUUAUUAUUCCAUCAACAUCAACCUCACACUAUUAAGGAAAAAUUCAAAGCACUCGAACA